CACGGCGGGGGCUAGCGUUGUUCGGAAUUACUGGGCGUAAAGCGCACGUAGGCGGAUUGUUAAGUCGGGGGUGAAAUCCCGGGGCUCAACCCCGGAUUGGCCUCCGAUACUGGCAAUCUUGAGGUCGGGAGAGGUGAGUGGAAUGGCGAGUGUAGAGGUGAAAUUCGUAGAUAUUCGCCGGAACACCAGUGGCGAAGGCGGCUCACUGGCACGAUACUGACGCUGAGGUGCGACAGCGUGGGGAGCAAACAGG
rnacentral:rRNA from 1 species